UAAGCGGUUGAAGGUGUGUGGUAACGCAUGCUGGACGUAUCAGAAGUGCGAAUGCUGACAUGAGUAACGAUAAAGGGGGUGAAAAACCUCCUCGCCGGAAGACCAAGGGUUCCUGUCCAACGUUAAUCGGGGCAGGGUAAGUCGACCCCUAAGGCGAGGCCGAAAGGCGUAGUCGAUGGGAAACGGGUUAAUAUUCCCGUACUUCUUACAAUUGCGAUGGGGGGACGGAGAAGGCUAGGUGGGCCUGGCGACGGUUGUCCAGGUUCAAGUGCGUAGGCUUAAGAGUUAGGUAAAUCCGGCUCUUUUUAAGGCUGAGACACGACGUCGAGCACCUACGGGUGUGAAGUCAUUGAUGCCAUGCUUCCAGGAAAAGCCUCUAAGCUUCAGAUUGUAAGGAAUCGUACCCCAAACCGACACAGGUGGUCGGGUAGAGAAUACCAAGGCGCUUGAGAGAACUCGGGUGAAGGAACUAGGCAAAAUGGUACCGUAA
rnacentral:rRNA from 1 species